AGAGUUUGAUCAUGGCUCAGGAUGAACGCUGGCGGUAUGCUUAACACAUGCAAGUCGAACGGGGCUUUUCGGAGCCUAGUGGCGGACGGGUGAGUAACGCGUGAGAAUCUAGCAUGAGGUCGGGGACAACCACUGGAAACGGUGGCUAAUACCGGAUAAACCGAGAGGGGAAAGAUUAAUUGCCUGAUGAAGAGCUCGCGACUGAUUAGCUAGUUGGUGGGGUAAGAGCCUACCAAGGCGACGAUCAGUAGCUGGUCUGAGAGGACGAUCAGCCACACUGGGACUGAGACACGGCCCAGACUCCUACGGGAGGCAGCAGUGGGGAAUAUUCCGCAAUGGGCGCAAGCCUGACGGAGCAAUACCGCGUGCGGGAGGAAGGCCCUUGGGUUGUAAACCGCUUUUCUCAGGGAAGAAGAUCUGACGGUACCUGAGGAAUCAGCAUCGGCUAACUCCGUGCCAGCAGCCGCGGUAAUAC
rnacentral:rRNA from 1 species